ACCUAAAGGAUUAAUUAUUAGAAUCUCGGCUUCAGAUAGGGUGUCAACCAUUAUAACCUUGUUGGAUAGAUCAACAAAUGAAGCUGGGUUCAUUUAAAGAUCUAACUAGGCCUGUUGUCUUAUUGGUCCUCUUUCCCAAGAUUGAAAGAACUUUCUAAAAUCUUUUGAAAAAAGAUUCUGAAUUCUAAUAAGGAUUUUCUAAAUAUUAUAUAGAAAAUCAUUUCACUAAAAACACAAUAAAAAUUGUAUUGAAGAAUCAGGCAAGUUACAGAAUCAAGUGUUGUUUAUUUUGUCUACACUUUCCAGGUCUAUACUACCGUAGCAAAGGGUGUCAUGGUCCUGAGUCUGCCGACUCAGUGUUUUAUGUUUCUUUAUGCUUUUGUUCAUUUAUACAUAUUCUGUUACGAAUUGCCAUUUGUUAGGUUUCUGUUCUGUGCUUUCCCUGGUUCCACUUCUGUGUUCUGUCUGUCUAUGGUGUCACACUGUCUGUGUGUGAAUCUGUCUGUUUAGUUCAGCGUCUUGUCCAGUUCUGUGUCUGUGAGUUUCCUGUUUUAUUCUGAAGGUCUCUAUCUCAUGUGAGUGUGUUCAGUUUACGUUUCCCCUGUCCCGUCAGCUUUGAUGUUCUCCUGCCUGUUGCCGGUUCGUCACUGCCUCUCCCCCAUUCUGGAACCCUCUCAGGUUUGUCAUUUAGCUUUCCCAGUGUAGGUCUUUAGUUUUGUCUUCCUUCUUUGCCUGUUUUGCCAUCUCACCACUGUGUAAAUAAAACAUCACUAGCAUUAUCAUCUACUGCCUGCGUUUUGGGUCCUUUCUCCCUUCUACACCACACGGCUCGCCUCGGCAGCCGUGACAAAGGGUUUAUAUAUGACAUAUAAAUAUAUAUAUAUAUAUAUGUAUGUGUACAUGAUAUACCCCAAUGAAGAUAAUUAGAUGGCAUGAGUUUUAUAUUUAAUUUGUCAAUUUACAAUUAACUGUGUAAUUAAUUUAAAUAAUGUUUCAAACAAUUGGGUUCUUAUAUAAUUCGAAAUUUACCAAAAGAAAAAUAUUGCAGUGAUGUGAAUGGUUUUGGAAAAAGAUUUAUUUAGGGAUCAAAUUUAUGUUAAACAUGCAUUUUUCUUUCAUUUAAAUAUGAAUAUAUAUGGAGUCACAGUUUUCAAAUAUUCUUGUUAGUUUUGAUUUUACUGUAUUCUUUGUGCUUCUGUAUUCUAACACAAGACAACAGAAUAAAUAUGUUGAAAGAAGAUUAAUUAGAAAUCAGCAUAAAAAUGUAAUUAGAAAUGUUAAGAUUAUCUGUUAAACUUUAAUAUUUUGCAUUUGUGAAAAAAAUAACAUGUUAAAGGAAUACUUUUACAUUACAUAACUAGUUGUUUAAAAAUUAGAUGAUUGACAUCAGACUGGUACUCUUACGUUGUUAGGUUAAUAUGAUUAACGGGAAAAACACAUUUUCCAAAUACACACAUAUUAAUAUAACUAAAAAGUAAAACAAAAGGUAAAUGGACUGAUUUUUAUGUAGCACUUUUCUUGCCUCUCAUUUUUUCUUUAUACAUCCUUGCUUGCAGUAGGCACAAUAACGGGAGCAACAGCGAUAACAGGAAAGUCUGAGCUGACUGAGGAGUCCAGGAGAUCUCUCUGGUGCUGCUUCAGAUUCUUCUACCUUUAUUUGCUCUUGAUAGAUAUUUGGAGAAUCUAGUUGAACUGUUUGAUUAGCUUUGUUGCUAGUUGUCAGUGUCUUAGACGCUUUGUUUUGUAUGUAGAAUUUCUCAAUCUCACUAAGCAUGCGGACCUUAAGUUGUUGGAGCUCGGUAUAUUUUUCAUCAAGUGAUUUGUGUUCUCCAUCCCUGCCACUUACAGAUAAAAACGUAUUACUUUGCCCAUGUUCCAACAUUUUUCUUGUUUUCUCAACUGAUGUCUUUUCUUUCUGAAAUAUUGAUCUCCUAACAAAAUGAUUGAUCACCUUUACUCUUUUAUCCAUAUUGUUUCUCAUUUCUUGACCUCUGAGCUUCAUCUGAUUUAUUUCAUUUCGUUCUAUUCUAGUGUCCUUCCAGAUUUGUUUCAAAAACUCAGUUUUUAAAAUUCCCUUCUGUGUGAAGUCAUCUUCCUCUGCUGACAAGAUGGACAACGUUGCAAGAUUUGUUUUCUUGACAUUUCCAAAUUCUUCACCUUCUCCUACUAACAGCAGACCUUCCUUGUCAGGUGUCAAGUAUCUUUUGCUUCCUUCAAGAUUAACUGCAACAUCCUUCAUCCUCUGCUUAAAUUCAUGUUCAUUGGUCUCUUCAUCCUGAUGCUCAUGUAAGCAUUGUUUUACAACAUCCUCAGUUUGGAUUGCUUUGUCAAAUGUUGUCUUAAACACAUGUUUCUUUUGUUGUUGUAUCUUGUCAUAAUCUGCAGUAAUUUUAAUUUUCUGCUUAUAAAUUCUGACCCAAUUUUGUUCAUAUGUGGAGAUCACUUGUAAUAUUUUUUCAUUUUCCCCCUCUACUCUCUUAAUAUAUGUCGGCAAGUCUUGAUGAAUCAGUCUAUUUAGUUUUCCUAUAAGGUUUCUUGUAGAGAUUGUAACACUACUGAGGAUGUCCUCUCUGGGUUGUACAUCAGACAGUUCACCUUUCAGGGAUUUCCUCGCAAUUAGUUUCACUUUCAGAAUCUCUAGUGAUUUCAUUUCAUCCAUGACUUGGUCUCCCCUCAUUUCCAUCCCAGACUGCUGUUCUUCCACAUUUCUCCUUUCCUUCAACAACAGUUCUUGUUCUUUGGCAAUGUCAGUCUUCAUCUCUUUCAUCUCUUCUUUUUCUUCACUCAUGAUUCCCUUUGCACGUUCAAGCUCUUCUUGCUUCUUCUUCAGAUUCCUCAUCAGACUCUCCACUUUUGCUCUUUCACUCUGUAAUUCCUUUUUCAUGAUUUCCACUUCUUUUGUUUGUCUUCUGAGUUCAUCUUCCUUGACUUUUUCUUCAUUAUGUGUUAAGAAAAUCUUGCUUAAAAUGUCUUCAAGUCUUUCUUUUUCCGUUUGAACCUGAAGGAUACAAUUUUUAAUCUUGGCUUUUUCGUCAUUUGUCUCAUGUAACAGCCUGUUUACAUGUUCCAUCUUAUUGAGCAGUUCAAGCUUUAUGGUUUCCAUUGAGUCUCGUUCUUCUUUUAUAUUUUGUUUCUUUUCUUCCAAUAUUUCAAAUUGUUUCUUGAUGUCAGACAUCAACACCUUCAAAUCCAUUUUCUCUUUAUUCAGCACCUCACUUUCUCUCUCCAGAUCUUCUCUGUCGUGUCUCAGAUUUUCUUUCACUUCAUCAAGCUCUCGUUUGUCCAAUUCAAACUGCUGCUUCCAUUCAUUUUCUGUGCUUUCUCUCUUGGUGACCAUUUCUGAAAGGAUACUUCUCACACCUUCCUUUUCUCUCUCUAACAUUUCAGUGAAACAGCGAAUGCUUUCUUUCAGUUCGUCUUGGGUUGGAAGUUUUUCUUCCAACACUGUUUGCAGCCUUGACCUGUUGUCAACAUUUUGUAGUAAUCUCUCCAUUUUGGCUUUUAUAUCCUCCUUCAGUUGUUGAAGUUUCACUUUCAGAAUCUCUAGCAAUUUCAUUUCAUCCAUGACUUGGUCUCCUCUCAUUUCCAUCUCAGACCGCUCUUCUUCCAUAUUUCUCCUUUCCUUCAACAACAGUUCUCGUUCUUUGGCAAUGUCAGUCUUCAUCUCUUUCAUCUCUUCUUUUUCUUCACUCAUGAUUCCCUUUGCACGUUCAAGCUCUUCUUGCUUCUUCUUCAGAUUCCUCAUCAGACUCUCCACUUUUGCUCUUUCACUCUGUAAUUCCUUUUUCAUGAUUUCCACUUCUUUUGUUUGACUUCUGAGUUCAUCUUCCUUGACUUUUUCUUCAUUAUGUGUUAAGAAAAUCUUGCUUAAAAUGUCUUCAAGUCUUUCUUUUUCCGUUUGAACCUGAAGGAUACAAUUUUUAAUCUUGGCUUUUUCGUCAUUUGUCUCAUGUAACAGCCUGUUUACAUGUUCCAUCUUAUUGAGCAGUUCAAGCUUUAUGGUUUCCAUUGAGUCUCGUUCUUCUUUUAUAUUUUGUUUCUUUUCUUCCAAUAUUUCAAAUUGUUUCUUGAUGUCAGACAUCAACACCUUCAAAUCCAUUUUCUCUUUAUUCAACACCUCACUUUCUCUCUCCAGAUCUUCUCUGUCAUGUUUUAGAUCUUCUUUCACUUUAUCAAGUUCUCGUUUGUCCAGUUCAAACUGCUUCUUCCAUUCAUUUUCUGUGCAUUCUCUCUUGGUGACCAUGUCUGAAAGGAUACUUCUCACACCUUCCUUUUCUCUCUCUAACAUUUCAGUGAAACAGCGAAUGCUUUCUUUCAGUUCGUCUUGGGUUGGAAGUUUUUCUUCCAACACUGUUUGCAGCCUUGACCUGUUGUCAACAUUUUGUAGUAAUCUCUCCAUUUUGGCUUUUAUAUCCUCCUUCAGUUGUUGAAGUUUCACUUUCAGAAUCUCUAGCAAUUUCAUUUCAUCCAUGACUUGGUCUCCUCUCAUUUCCAUCUCAGACCGCUCUUCUUCCAUAUUUCUCCUUUCCUUCAACAACAGUUCUCGUUCUUUGGCAAUGUCAGUCUUCAUCUCUUUCAUCUCUUCUUUUUCUUCACUCAUGAUUCCCUUUGCACGCCCAAGCUCUUCUUGCUUCUUCUUCAGAUUCCUCAUCAGACUCUCCACUUUUGCUCUUUCACUCUGUAAUUCCUUUUUCAUGAUUUCCACUUCUUUUGUUUGACUUCUGAGGUCAUCUUCCUUGACUUUUUCUUCAUUAUGUGUUAAGAAAAUCUUGCUUAAAAUGUCUUCAAGUCUUUCUUUUUCCAUUUGAACCUGAAGGAUACAAUUUUUAAUCUUGGCUUUUUCGUCAUUUGUCUCAUGUAACAGCCUGUUUACAUGUUCCAUCUUAUCGAGCAGUUCAAGCUUUAUGGUUUCCAUUGAGUCUCGUUCUUCUUUUAUAUUUUGUUUCUUUUCUUCCAAUAUUUCAAAUUGUUUCUUGAUGUCAGACAUCAACACCUUCAAAUCCAUUUUCUCUUUAUUCAGCACCUCACUUUCUCUCUCCAGAUCUUCUCUGUCGUGUCUCAGAUCUUCUUUCACUUUAUCAAGCUCUCGUUUGUCCAGUUCAAACUGCUGCUUCCAUUCAUUUUCUGUGCAUUCUCUCUUGGUGACCAUUUCUGAAAGGAUACUUCUCACACCUUCCUUUUCUCUCUCUAACAUUUCAGUGAAACAGCGAAUGCUUUCUUUCAGUUCGUCUUGGGUUGGAAGUUUUUCUUCCAACACUGUUUGCAGCCUUGACCUGUUGUCAACAUUUUGUAGUAAUCUCUCCAUUUUGGCUUUUAUAUCCUCCUUCAGUUGUUGAAGUUUCACUUUCAGAAUCUCUAGCAAUUUCAUUUCAUCCAUGACUUGGUCUCCUCUCAUUUCCAUCUCAGACCGCUCUUCUUCCAUAUUUCUCCUUUCCUUCAACAACAGUUCUCGUUCUUUGGCAAUGUCAGUCUUCAUCUCUUUCAUCUCUUCUUUUUCUCCACUCAUGAUUCCUUUGCACGUUCAAGCUCUUCUUGCUUCUUCUUCAGAUUCCUCAUCAGACUCUCCACUUUUGCUCUUUCACUCUGUAAUUCCUUUUUCAUGAUUUCCACUUCUUUUGUUUGUCUUCUGAGGCCAUCUUCCUUGACUUUUUCUUCAUUAUGUGUUAAGAAAAUCUUGCUUAAAAUGUCUUCAAGUCUUUCUUUUUCCGUUUGAACCUGAAGGAUACAAUUUUUAAUCUUGGCUUUUUCGUCAUUUGUCUCAUGUAACAGCCUGUUUACAUGUUCCAUCUUAUUGAGCAGUUUAAGCUUUAUGGUUUCCAUUGAGUCUCGUUCUUCUUUUAUAUUUUGUUUCUUUUCUUCCAAUAUUUCAAAUUGUUUCAUGAUGUCAGACAUCAACACCUUCAAAUCCAUUUUCUCUUUAUUCAGCACCUCACUUUCUCUCUCCAGAUCUUCUCUGUCGUGUCUCAGAUCUUCUUUCACUUCAUCAAGCUCUCGUUUGUCCAGUUCAACCUGCUGCUUCCAUUCAUUUUCUGUGCUUUCUCUCUUGGUGACCAUUUCUGAAAGGAUACUUCUCACACCUUCCUUUUCUCUCUCUAACAUUUCAGUGAAACAGCGAAUGCUUUCUUUCAGUUCGUCUUGGGUUGGAAGUUUUUCUUCCAACACUGUUUGCAGCCUUGACCUGUUGUCAACAUUUUGUAGUAAUCUCUCCAUUUUGGCUUUUAUAUCCUCCUUCAGUUGUUGAAGUUUCACUUUCAGAAUCUCUAGCAAUUUCAUUUCAUCCAUGACUUGGUCUCCUCUCAUUUCCAUCUCAGACCGCUCUUCUUCCAUAUUUCUCCUUUCCUUCAACAACAGUUCUCGUUCUUUGGCAAUGUCAGUCUUCAUCUCUUUCAUCUCUUCUUUUUCUCCACUCAUGAUUUCCUUUGCACGUUCAAGCUCUUCUUGCUUCUUCUUCAGAUUCCUCAUCAGACUCUCCACUUUUGCUCUUUCACUCUGUAAUUCCUUUUUCAUGAUUUCCACUUCUUUUGUUUGUCUUCUGAGGCCAUAUUCCUUGACUUUUUCUUCAUUAUGUGUUAAGAAAAUCUUGCUUAAAAUGUCUUCAAGUCUUUCUUUUUCCAUUUGAACCUGAAGGAUACAAUUUUUAAUCUUGGCUUUUUCGUCAUUUGUCUCAUGUAACAGCCUGUUUACAUGUUCCAUCUUAUUGAGCAGUUCAAGCUUUAUGGUUUCCAUUGAGUCUCGUUCUUCUUUUAUAUUUUGUUUCUUUUCUUCCAAUAUUUCAAAUUGUUUCAUGAUGUCAGACAUCAACACCUUCAAAUCCAUUUUCUCUUUAUUCAGCACCUCACUUUCUCUCUCCAGAUCUUCUCUGUCGUGUCUCAGAUCUUCUUUCACUUUAUCAAGCUCUCGUUUGUCCAGUUCAAACUGCUGCUUCCAUUCAUUUUCUGUGCAUUCUCUCUUGGUGACCAUGUCUGAAAGGAUACUUCUCACACCUUCCUUUUCUCUCUCUAACAUUUCAGUGAAACAGCGAAUGCUUUCUUUCAGUUCGUCUUGGGUUGGAAGUUUUUCUUCCAACACUGUUUGCAGCCUUGACCUGUUGUCAACAUUUUGUAGUAAUCUCUCCAUUUUGGCUUUUAUAUCCCCCUUCAGUUGUUGAAGUUUCACUUUCAGAAUCUCUAGCGAUUUCAUUUCAUCCAUGACUUGGUCUCCUCUCAUUUCCAUCUCUUUCUCUUCAUCUUUGAUGUUUCUCCUUACCUUCAACAACAGUUCUUUUCUAUUCUCACGUCUAGUUUUCAUCUGGAUGACUUUUUCUUUUUCCUGGUUACAUUUUUUUAUCUCUUUUUUUAUCAAGUCUUGUUUUGUGUCUUGUAAGAUCACCCUUUUUAUACCAUCCUUAGUCGUUUCUCUUUUAUAUUCUUUCUUUACAGUCAGAUACUCAGUACUGUGUUUUUCUUUUUGUUUGCCCCAAAACAUUUUAUUGAAAUCUUUCAGUUUCAUUUUUUUUUCAGUUUCUUUUAUUUCAGUUGUUUUCCUUUCCUCUUUUAUGUUUUCAUUUUUUUGUUUUAAUAUGUCUAUUUCUUUUUUGAUUUUACAGCCUCUCAUGUCAAGUUUCUGGUUCUUUUUCAACAACUCUUUCACUCUUUCAAGAUCCUCUUUGUCUUGACUCUCGUCUGCACUUAAGUCAUCCAAGGCAUCUUUUUCUAUCUCAUAUAUUUUUUCCCUUUCAUUUUCAUGCUUUCCUUGCUCCGUCUUGAUUUUUGUCUCCACUUGUUCCCCAUGUUUUGGCUCUUGUUGUAUGUUUUUUAAUGCACACCGUAUAAUUUCCUUUUGCCUAUUUAAUUCACUUUUAAUAUUCAGUGUUUCUUUCCUUUUGGUCAUGUAGAAAUUUUUUUGGUCUUGCAUGUGUUUAUUUUCAUUCUGAAUUAUUCCAAUGAUGAAUUGAGUGUUUUUAAUUACCUUUUUAUAUUCCCCUAAGUAUUUCUUGAUUAGUUCCCAUUGUUUUUGAAUUUGUUUCCUUUUUUCUUUCAUCCUCAUGUCUUCAAUUUCACUUUGCAUCCCUUUCUUUUCUUUUUGCAACUUCUGCUUUAUUUCUUGUUCACCUUGAUGUUUGAUGAUCUCCUCUCGUCGUUGUUCAACCUCCUUUUUCUGCUUUGUUUCUCUCACGAGGGCAGUUCUUUCUUCUUUGAAAGUAGCCCAUAUUCUUUUUAUCUUCUGUUCUUUUUGAAUGCUUCUUUUGAUUACACGUUGGUUUUCUCUUUUCUUCAUCUCCAGCUCAACCACCAGAACUUCUAUCUCUUGUCUUUCCCUUUUAAUAUUUUCUAGUCUCAUAUCAAGCUUCUGUUUUUCUCUUUGGAUUUUUUCCCAGAUGUUGAUUGUUUCAUCCAUCUCUGCAGUGUCUUGUAUGGUAACUCUUCCAAAGAGUAUAUUAAGCUGAUAUUUUAACCUCUUCAUUUUGUUUGUUAUAUUCUUAUUUUCAGCCUCAACUUCUCUGAAUCCUUUUUUGUCCUUUUCUAAAUGAGCAUUCACAUUUUCUAGAAUUUUCAUCUCUGUCCUAAUUGUUCCCAUGUGUAAAUUAAACUUGUCUCUUAUGUCUUGGAUGUAAAUAGUAUACUGAGAAACUUUUAAGCUGUGGUUUUUGAUUUUCUCCAUUAACAUUUUCACAUCUUUCCUUCCAAAAUGUUUUUCAUGUUCAUUGGGUAGAUGGAUGAACAGAUUAUGGUCUCUCUGCUUCUCCUCAGCCAGCUCUUCCAUCUGUCGUUUCAAUUUUACCCUUAACACUUCUAGUUCAUCCCUUUUUCUCAUAGUCAUCUCCAGUCUUUGGUCUAAUUCUCUUCUUUUCUUUUUGAUCUCGGUCCUCAAUGCUUCCUUUUCUUGUUGUAUUUCAUACCACAUUAUUUCAAUUUCCUCCUUUUUUCUCAUACUUUUUCUAAAAAAACGCUCAAAUUCUUUUACCUUUAUUUUCAAUUCUGAUUGCAGCAGCUCCAUUUCUCUUAUUUGCCUUUUGGUCAUGUGUACUCCGUCAUCAAGCUCCUGUUCUUUUCUUUCAGUUUUCUCCCUCAAAUGGUUCACCUGUUCCUCCUGUAUUUCUGUUUCAGUUAGCUGUUUAACCAUUUUCUCAUUCUUUAUCGCUGUUUGGAUCUGUUCUGUCAUCUCAGUCUCUUCUCUCUUGAUUAUUUGUUUUACAUUCUCACUAACUGAUUUUUUAUUUUUUUGACCCAGACUGUCUAAUGAAAGUUUUACCUCCUCCAGUUUCUCAUUAACUUGUUUGAGGCUUUCUGUUCCCUCAGUUUCUUUGUCCAUUUUGUUUUUUGUCAGUUUAUCUCUUUUAUUGUCCAUUGUCUUCUUAAUUUCAGUCUUGAAAAUUUCAAGAGCAGUUCUUUGCUUAGGUGUACUACCAUGUUCCAUGUCUGGUUUUGCGCCUUUUGUCAAGUUAAGGUUAAUGCAGUCAAGGUCUUUAAACUGUCUUAGUUUUAUUUCAGUCUCCUUCAUACUAAUUUCUAUCUCUUCAAUUUUCCUUCUGGUCUUAGCAGCUAUUUUCUCGACUGUGCUCUUAACUUUUGCCAUUUUUUCUAAAUUCUGCCGAAUCAGUUCAGUUUGCCUCUGCAUUUUUAUUUUAAAGAUGUCUAAUCCAUCUCUCUCUUUCAAAGUAUUUUCUAAUCUUUGAUCUAAUUCUCUUCUCUUCUUUUUCACUGCAGUUUUCAUUGAUUUUAUAUUGCUCAUUUCUUCUGUCAUAUGUACUUCACUUUGCUUUAUUUUGGUUUUUACAAUUUCCAAAAACUCUUGAAACUGUUUGAUGUCUUUUAGCAAUCCUUCAAUUUCACUGCCUUCAUUCUGUUGAUAUUUGUCCAUGUUAUUUUUUUCCGCUAGGUUCUCAAGUCCUCCUCUUAGCGUUCUUAUAAUCUCUUGUGUUUUGUAAAUCUCUGCCCUGAGUCUUUGUAUAUCGGCUCCUCUGUCCUUUUUAUCUUCAUCGGUGUGUUCAACAUGUUUUUUCAUCUCUUCUCCUGAUUUCUGAAUUAGUUUUUGCUUGUUAACAUUAAGCCUUAUCAAGCUAGACUCUUGUUUUAUUUUUUUGGCAUCGUCCCCCUCUUGUACUUCAUAUUUUAUUAUUUCAUUUUUGAAAACUUUGGUGUUCAGCAUCAAAAUCUUUCUCUGUUCAGUUUCUUCCAACAGCUUAGUUAAUACUUCCUGGGCAUUUUCAGUUUCCCCGACUGUAAUUACAGUGUCUGCCCUCUGCAGGUCAUUUAUUUCCAAAAUGAGCCUUUUUAUAUCUUGAGUUUUUUCGUUCAUGUUAUCAAUAGUGUACUUUAUUUGUUCCUUUAUUUCCCCCUCUUGCUGCUUUAGGUUACGUAUCAGUUUUUCCACUUCUUCCCUUUCUCUUACAAUUAUCAGUAAUUCAGUUUUAUCAUGCACUACUUCUUCAUGAAUUUCAGUUCGCAUCUGUAAGCAAAAGUCCUGCUCCCCAUUUUUGCCUUCUGCAAAACAAUAUUUGGAUUCAAAAUGCUCCUUCUGUUGUUCUUUUAUUUUUUUAUUUUGAUGCUGAUCAUCUAAUGUUACAGAAUUUUGUAAUGAUGUUGUAUCUGUUAUACUUUUUUUCCCUUUUUUGUCCUUUGGAAUUGCUGAUGUUUGAUCCUCAAGGGAGUCUGUGUCUAUUUCAUACUGUGAUUCUUGAAGUUUGGAUGCGUUCACUGAAAAAGUAUGUUUGAUUGUAGAUUGUGCCAAUAUCCAUUUGUUGACCCAAGUUUUCAUGGAUGUCAGUUUUUCCUUCACAAAAACAGAAAAAAAGAGCUUUUUUUGUUUUUGAUGACACCAAGACAACAAUAAAGAUCUUCUUAAAACAUCUAUGUUUUAAUUUUUUGUUUCACAUUUAUGGAUCUUACUAGGGUUGGGCCAUAUGUAAAAAUUUUCCAACCGACAAUUGUCAGUCCAAUAAUCGACGAUGGGCGAUAUAUUCGCGCAUACGCAGACUUGUUGAUUGGCAGAGCAAUGUAGCCAUGCAUGGAGUGAUUUGCACAUUUACAACACAGAUGAAGUCCAAACAUGGACGAACUAAUUUCCCCAAAAAAUUAGGGCUGUCAACAUUUAUGCGGUCAUCACGAUUAACCCAUCUGGAGUGCAGAAUGAAUAAACUUUGGACAAACUGCUCGAAAUGCGUUGAGAGAGACAUUUAAGGGAUUUUGACUCAGUCUGCGAUCCAGAUGGGUUAAUUGUUAAACGCGUUAGUCGUGAUGGUGGCACUUUAACGUUGACAGCACUAAAGAAAUAUAAAGUUGCCAAGUUGGGAUUUCUUUGGCUUUAAACCAGAUGAAAAUAGUAAACCUAAGGAUGUAACCAAAACGGUCUGCCCCUUGUGCAGAUGUAUAAGUAUAAGUACUCAAACACGACUAACUUGCAUGAGCAUGUACGUGUCCACCAUCUGGCUGAGUAUGCUAGUGUAGUGAAGCAGAUUUUGGGGUAGGAUUUUACGUGAUGUCCUCGAUUGCAGCACUAACAUCCACCUUCCCAGCUGAUAAUUAGCAACCUUAUAAGAAACAGCUGCGCUUCACUACCACAUGGAGGUAUUUGGCAGUCUUUUCCCAUCCAAGGUGGCUGAGAGCAUUAGGCAGCUUAAGCACUGCAGAGCUCCUCAGGAAAGCUGCUCAUUUUAGUAUUGCCCUUUAGUAGUGAUGGCCAAAUGAAGCUUUCCGAAGCACUGAAGCUUGUAUUGAAAAACGGUUCAUUACUCGAAGCUUUUCAACACAGUCCUCUCUGGUGACAUCUGGUGGCCAAAAAUACAAAGAGCAGCUUGAAUCCACAAAAUAAAACCAACUGCUUCAUUAUGAUUGCCCACUCUACUGAGUGGAAUUCUGUCUGAUAUUGGGCCGCCGUUGUGUUGCUUUGAACGUGUAUUUUUUGGUGGUUAAAAAAAUGUGUUUUAUUUGUUUAAUAAAUAGUUUUGACCAGUAAACUCUCCUUGUUAUGCACCAUGGUGUGGUCUUCCUUUGCUUGUGACUUCUUGAUGUUGGUAAAUACAAUAAUUGAAAAAUACCACGUUACAUAUAAUAUGUACAACACAUUAUGGAGUAUGCUUCUGCUCUGAGGUCCUGCCUCCAUGCACUUAUGCAAUCAAUCGCUAGACAGGUGUAUUUAUAAAUAAUAUUAUAUUAGGGAAAUUUCCCCAGACAUAUAUUUGACCUGGGGGUAGAAUUGAUUGUGAAAUGGAAAAGGAAAAUGCUUAUGAACUUGCAAAUUAAAAACAUUAUGCAUUUAAGGUAACCCUUUUUCAUUUUUAUUUAAAAAGAAAAUUUGUUCUAGUGUGCGAUGGCCGAACCUGUUCCUUUUCGUGGAGAUAAUUUCUCCUGCCUUAAGGAAAAUCCCUUCACAUGGCCCAGAGGAGGCUGGAGUGCAGAGAAACUGGUAGAGAUGCAGUUAUACAGUCUACCUGGGCCCCACAAACGAUCAGAUAAAGAGAAUAAAUAAAUUCAAUUGCUGCACAUUUGGCAGACUAACAUUUUCAGAUUAAUUAAACAAUAAAAUAUAUAUUUUUACAACAUUACAUGUAAAGAGUCAAGUGGAAGUUUUUCUAAAGUUAUUUAAUGAUAUUUAUAUUAUGGAAGCAGAUUUUUGACAUUUUACCUUUUUCCCGUUUUCAGAUAUAAUAAACACGCACAAAACAAAAGCAAACGGCCAGAACACAAAGCUGGAAAACCCACCGGAUUGACAAAAAAUCAACUCAAAAUUCUCCCACACAACAGAACCUCCUCAAUUCCUCGCUGGCUCCAAAUCUCUCAGUGGAAUGAUCAGUGGUUCGCUGUCACCAUCAAAACACUCCACAAAUCCCGUGAAUGAUUCGCUUCCUUAUAAACCAUUGAAUCAGAUACCGAAGCAGUUAGGCUCUAAAUGAAGCUUCGGACGUCACCGAUCACGUGACUCUGGCCAAACGAAUCAAGCUUCGACACAGUGCUUCUGAAGCAGUGUGUUGAUUUUUUUGACACACGCACCAGAGCUUCAGCUUCAAGCGGGUCAUCACUACCCUUUAGAGAAUGGUAAGAGGGACUCUUGCAUUUGUCAUAAUGUGGCAUAUAGUAGGGUGGACCUUGACGACUGUUUCCCUCUUUUGUUACAGGAUUGUGCCAUACUGCUGCUGUUUUGUGCUAUCUUGUUUUGUGUCGUUCUUUCUUGUUCAGUUUUGUUCUGUCUUGUUGUGGCCUUACAAAUGUUUAUGGACUGGCCUCGACUGACUCUUUAUGAUCUUUUACUUGGAAUUGUUUUAUAUAUUGUAAUCUUGCUUUUAUAAAGAACUGUAACUUAGGGAUGGUUUGUUUUAUUUAUCUCUUUUACUAAUUUGUUUAAUGUUUUACGCUUAGUUUUAUUGCUUUAGUGGAGGUGCGGCCGCUUGUUGAGGGGCUAGGCACAUGAGGUGGAAUCCCCUCCUCGAUGCAUGAGAGUGUACACACCAGGCAUAGGUAGACCGCACCAUUUAGAUUUCAGUGUGAGUGACGGUGAGGUUUGCUGUGGAACUACAUUGGUGAGUAAUUGGUGGUACCCUUGGGCACUCCUCUCUGUAGGUUGCCUCAAGUGGCCGGUCUCAACUAUUUUGUUUAGUUACUUUAUCGAGUUAUUUUACUAGGGUGGCAGCGAGCCUUGUGGUUUUAAUCAUUGUUUGUUAAUUGUUUUAAUUAACAGUCUUGCAGUCUUGGCCCUGCUACCCUAAGAACUCUGAUUUCAGUUCUAUGCUUUUUAGUAGUUUUUCUUAAUAAAUUUUGAUUUGUAAAACUGAUCUGCCUCACCUCUGCUGUUAAUAACUAGCCUGUGGGCUUAGGUAGAUAGUGUAACAUCUACACUGGCUAUAAAAAAAUCUUUCCUGGGGUGUAACUCUCCUCUCAGGUGGCGUUGUCACCUUCCCUGGUUAUCCCUCAUUUGCGCCACCACACAAGGCUAUCACCAGCUUCUGCAGCUCCAUCAACAAGCAUUUGGGCACACUCUCAGGAGGGUGCAUUUGCUCACAGAUGACAGAGGGUGCUUUUAAACCAGUACUCUUAAUAUUUUUUUUUUGACUGAUUCUAUUUGCUCCAUCAUUAUUAGCAAACUUACUCAUGGGCAAAUAAAUAAAUCGCCAGUGGGCUCAGCCUAUAGUUGAUAUAUUCGUCCAAUCACCCAACCCUAGAUCUUACACAGACUGCUAUGCUCCUGAGCCUGGCAGUUGCAAUAAAUGUAGAAAUCUUCUAUCUCACUUAGGCUACAUCCACAGGUACCCGGGUAUUUUUGAAAACACAGAUUUUUCUAUGCAUUUGCACCUUUCGUCCACAUGCAAACGGUGUUUUCGGUCACUGAAAACAGAGAUUUUUAAAAACUCCAGCCAGGGUGGAUAUUUUUGAAACCUCAGUUUUUGCGUUUACGUGGACGAGAAAAAAGGAGAAAACGCAGCAUCAAAGGUGUGCGCAUUUUUUGACGUCAUACUGUGCGCCACGUUAUUGUUUCGAUGAAAUGAGUUUCUACAAUGGUGGACUUACACAAAAUACCAUUACUGUUAAUUUUACUCUGCAGUGUUUAAAUGCUUACACAUUUGCUGUCCCUCCACACAUAGGACUCAGUUCUGCUUCUAUUCGCCAUCUUUGUUUACUCUUUCCCACCCAGGCUGACUUCUGAUUGGCCAACAUUUCUACACGGAUAGGAAUAUAGCGCCACCUGCUGCUUUGGCAUGUUCCUAGCAGCGUUUUCCUUUGUUUUUGGCUUUUACGUGUGGAUGGGAUUUUUUUUUUAAAAAUGGAAAAUCUCAGUUUUCAAAAAUACCCAUGUAAGUGUGGACGUAGCCUUACAUGGAUAAGGAUCAAGAUGACAUGGAAUGAGUUUACUACUAUGAGCAGAAGUUAUUCAUGCUUAACUGUAAAUGUUUACUGUUCUUUUUUUUCAUUAAAUUAAAUAUAACAUUAUCAGCAUCUUAUCAGCACAGUGUGAUGCCAUUCUGGUAGCAGACUUAGCUUUGAUUACACACAGGCACACUGAUGUCUGCAUGGACAUUUGUGCCCACCGUCUGAUGACAUAAUUUACUUUACUAUAGCAGACUUAAGUGCACUCAAUCAUUCUUCACCUUUCUUUCUCUAUUGCCUGCCACUGGUGUAUGUCUAUCUUUUCCAUGUUUAAAGGGCACCCCCCACCCCAAAACAAAAAAACACAUCUGGUGGUAGGCGGUAUUUUCGCCACUGACUCCAAAAUCCACCGUUCCCAAUGCAUAACUGAUUAUUUUUACACAUUCUUUUGCAUUUCAGUUUGUUAGGUUUAUACAGUAAAAUUACUUAUGUAAUUAACAUUCCAUGCUUGAACCAAGUGGGAAACAUUGGAGAAAAAGUCAGAAAUGUUAACUUUGCAUAGCCUGGGGAUAGUUCUUAUCAUCUUUAGGAUGGCUAGAAUAAUUUCCACAACUUAUUGACAACAGCAACUACAGUAUGUGGAUAUCAGUAACCAUACCCUUUCAAUUGUCAGAAUAUUAAAAAAUUAUGUAUACGCAAAUUACAAUUUCAAGCUCAGUUAAACCCAAACUGUUAUAUCAGGCAUCUUACUACUUUUUUACAGUUUUAUUGGAGUACUUAAUGGAGUAUUUCUUCCAACAAUUCCAGUCGGUAAAUAAAGGAAUCGUUAUCAAAUACUGAAUGUCUAUCAACUAAAAGCAGGUUCAAUAAAAAUCAGGGGAUCCUGACAAGAAAUACCUAAAAGGAAAGAAUAAAUACUUACCAUAUAGUUCUUGGCUUCUUCCUGGUUCUUACUAAUCUCCCUUUGGGUUCUCUGCAUUUUCUCCCAAGUGUUGUUCAUUUCUGCACCAGUUUUUUCUAUUUUACCUUUUAUCUCAGUGACAGUAUUUUCCAGUUUUUGUUCAACCCUUUCCUUUUGUCGCUGUAUUUUUGUCUUCAUGAUUUCUAACUCAUCCCUCUCUUUCCUUAUCUUCUCCAGCAAACGCUCAAGCUCCCUUCUUUUUUGCUUUUCUCGAAAAUUUGUCCAUUUCGUUUGAGCCUUUACUUCUGUAAAGUCCCUCAUGCUCUGCUUUGUUUCUUCACCCUUGUUACAAAGCACUUCAUUGUUUUCUUCUUCCUCAGAGAUCAAAUUCUGCAUGUAAGUAUUUGGUUUGUCUUUUUCUACAUUUUCCCUUCCUGUCUUUAGUUUCAUUUCAACUCUCUUUAAAUCAUCUCUUUCAGGCUGGAUGUGUGUCACUUUAAAGCUUAGAUCUGAAUCUUGUUGCUUUUGAUAAUCAAUAUUCAUCUUGAUGUUCAUGUGAUUGUUCUCUGCCAUUAGCUGCUGCUUUGCACUUUGAGUCACUUCCAGUUGUUGUUCACUGUCUUCCAGCACAUCCCAAAGUUUCUCCAUCUCUUCCUGGAUUCUACACAGUUUUCUCUUCACUGUGUCAAAUGUGGCUUUUCCAUCGUUUCUUUCUCUCUGUCCUUCUUUAUACAUGUGAAUUUUCUUCAUUUCAGCCUGUUUUAUAAUGCUUGCCCAUCUGUGCUUGACCAUGUUGAUCUUUACAUACAUAAUAUGUUUAAUGUGGUUAAUUUGUUCACUGUUUUUUGAAAUGUCCUUUUUAUUUCUUUUUAAUGCUUGCUGUAUGUUUGCUUUAGUUUUCUCCAUUUUUUCUUUAACUUUCUUUACUUCAAGCAUUAUUUCCCUGUUUUUCUCAGUUGCAUUCUCCAGUAUAUCCAGUUCCCGCUUUACCUGCUCAUUAAGGGGCUCUUUGGGUUCCUCCCUUAUUGGUGAUUCUGUCUUACUAGCUUUUAUAGUGUCUAGCUUGUGUCGCUCGUUGAUGAAGUAUUGACGUCUUCUGUCCAGAGUAUCCUUUUCUUGAUAUAUUUUAGUCCACGUUUUCAGAAAGUUUGUUUUUUCCUUAGCAACUGAAUUUUUGCUUUGUUUGAGUUUCUCAGUUAUAUUUUUUAUUUGGAAGUUAAAUUGCUUUAAUAGUAGGUGAUGUUUAUUUUUUUCAGAUGUCAGUCUCUCAAUGUCUUCCUGUUGCCCCUCUGUCUUUGUCUUUAAGAAGUCAAUUUCAUUUGUCUUUCUUUCUGUCUGUCUCCAGAGUUGUUCGAUCUCCUCCAUUGCUUGACAUAUCAGUUGCCUUUGUCUUUUUAAAGUUUCUUUUUGGGUUUUCAUGUCAGUUCUUGUUUGUUUGCUAUCUGAUUGCUUUCUGUUUUCCAUUGUUGAGUUCCAUUCUGUUGUCAUCCUGCUGUCUUUGUUCUGUUGGUAAAAAUAAAUGAAUAAACAAAGUGGCCAAACCAUAACUAACAAAUGACAAGACAUUCUAAACUCAUACUGUGUUGGAAGAUAACAAGUAAAAGAGGGAUAACCAGAAAUUGACAGAUGGAUUGGGGCCACAACUGCAGUCAUGUGGAUUCUGUACCAGUCCAUCAUGGUGAACAGAGAGCUAAAUAUAAAAGCGAAGAUCUCAAUUUACUGUUUGCUCUACAUCCCUACCCUCACCUAUGGUCAUAAGCUUUGGGUAGUGAUUGAAAGAACAAGAUCACAGAUACAAGCAUGACAUUAGCUUUUUCUGAAGGGUGGCUGCUAAUCCUGCACAUUGAAAGAAGCCAGUUCGGGUGGUUUGUGUGUCCCACAGGGCGGAGGCCCUGGAGGCCUGGGGUUCUCUGCUUAGACUGCUGCCCCCACGACCCAGCCACAGAGAAGAUGGAUAAAUGACAUAAUUGUUUAUAUCACAUUUACAGUAUUUUUUUGGCAACAAUGUAAUAAUGUAGUUGGGUUAUCUGAGGUCUGUUCUAUAGCAAAUGUAGAAAAAAUGUUUUAAGAAGAGCCAAUAUAACUCAGUGUUCUAAAGAAUGUGACUGUUUCCUUGCAAGACCAUAGCGCGGCUACGUCUGCAGCCUGUCCACAGCUUGGACACAAACAUUUCACUGCAUGUGUUACUCUGUAUGAUUGUUGUUUAAUGCUUUUUAAAAUCAUAUUCAAGUAGAUUUUGAAAUGAAGAUAGCUUGUAUUUUUGUUUUUUGCAUUAGAGGUGUUUAAGAAAAGUUGAGUUUUGUAAUUGCAUUUUUACCUUGUUUAUACUUGUACUUUUUUUUUUUUUUAAUAAAUAUCUUGUAUGUAAGGUGACCUUGAGGGUCUUUAAAGGUGCUUAUAAAUAAAAUGUAUUGUUGUUGUUGUUAUUGUUAUUGUUAUUGUUGUUAUUAUUGUUAUUAUUGUUAUUAUUGUUAUUAUUGUUAUUGUUGUUAUUGUUAUUGUUGUUAUUGUUGUUAUUAUUGUUGUUGUUGUUGUUAUAUUUUUUCUCAAUAAUAAUAAUAAUAACACAAAUGCAUAAGCUGCAAACAUGUUAUAUAGUUGUUUGGAAUAGAAUUACAAUGAGAUUAUCUUGGUUUAACAAGAGGUAACUGGAUAUGUUCAGACUUUAAAUGUAAACAUAGCCAAUUUGCAUUGAAUUACCC
ensembl:lncRNA